UACGAAGGGGGCUAGCGUUGUUCGGAAUCACUGGGCGUAAAGCGCACGUAGGCGGACUGAUAAGUCGGGGGUGAAAUCCCGGGGGUCAACCCCGGAACUGCCUUCGAUACUGUCAGUCUCGAGUCUGAGAGAGGAGAGUGGAAUUCCUAGUGUAGAGGUGAAAUUCGUAGAUAUUAGGAAGAACACCAGUGGCGAAGGCGGCUCACUGGCUCGGUACUGACGCUGAGGUGCGAAAGCGUGGGGAGCAAACAGG
rnacentral:rRNA from 1 species